UGGGGAAUAUUGGACAAUGGGGGGCAACCCUGAUCCAGCCAUGCCGCGUGUGUGAAGAAGGCCUUUUGGUUGUAAAGCACUUUAAGCAGGGAGGAGAGGCUAAUGGUUAAUACCCAUUAGAUUAGACGUUACCUGCAGAAUAAGCACCGGCUAACUCUGUGCCAGCAGCCGCGGUAAUACAGAGGGUGCGAGCGUUAAUCGGAAUUACUGGGCGUAAAGCGAGUGUAGGUGGCUCAUUAAGUCACAUGUGAAAUCCCCGGGCUUAACCUGGGAACUGCAUGUGAUACUGGUGGUGCUAGAAUAUGUGAGAGGGAAGUAGAAUUCCAGGUGUAGCGGUGAAAUGCGUAGAGAUCUGGAGGAAUACCGAUGGCGAAGGCAGCUUCCUGGCAUAAUAUUGACACUGAGAUUCGAAAGCGUGGGUAGCAAACAGGAUUAGAUACCCUGGUAGUCCACGCCGUAAACGAUGUCUACUAGCCGUUGGGGUCCUUGAGACUUUAGUGGCGCAGUUAACGCGAUAAGUAGACCGCCUGGGGAGUACGGCCGCAAGGUUAAAACUCAAAUGAAUUGACGGGGUCAUAGCUGUUUCCU
rnacentral:rRNA from 1 species